GUCUUAGUUAGCUUAAUGCUAUACUAGGGCUACAUGCUCAUUGAUAGUGCUUUAAACUAAGCCAUAAAAUUCAACCACAACAUUUAGUAAGUUUAAACUGAAAAGUGAAGUGAUGGUGAUUUACUUUCAAUUAAUGAGCUACAUAAC
rnacentral:sRNA from 12 species